rnacentral:rRNA from 1 species
UGGCGGACGGGUGAUAACGCGUGGAAAACCUGCCGUAUACUGGGGGAUAACACUUAGAAAUAGGUGCUAAUACCGCAUAAGCGCACAGCUUCGCAUGAAGCGGUGUGAAAAACUCUGGUGGUAUACGAUGGUUCCGCGUCUGAUUAGCUAGUUGGUGGGGUAAUGGCCUACCAAGGCAACGAUCAGUAGCCGGCCUGAGAGGGUGAACGGCCACAUUGGGACUGAGACACGGCCCAAACUCCUACGGGAGGCAGCAG